rnacentral:rRNA from 1 species
UAUCGGAUUACUGGGCGUAAGCGCACGCAGGCGGUUUGUUAAGUCAGAUGUGAAAUCCCCGGGCUCAACCUGGGAACUGCAUCUGAUACUGGCAAGCUUGAGUCUCGUAGAGGGGGGUAGAAUUCCAGGUGUAGCGGUGAAAUGCGUAGAGAUCUGGAGGAAUACCGGUGGCGAAGGCGGCCCCCUGGACGAAGACUGACGCUCAGGUGCGAAAGCGUGGGGAGCAAACAGGAUUAGAUACCCUGGUAGUCCACGCCGUAAACGAUGUCGACUUGGAGGUUGUGCCCUUGAGGCGUGGCUUCCGGAGCUAACGCGUUAAGUCGACCGCCUGGGGAGUACGGCCGCAAGGUUAAAACUCAAAUGAAUUGACGGGGGCCCGCACAAGCGGUGGAGCAUGUGGUUUAAUUCGAUGCAACGCGAAGAACCUUACCUGGUCUUGACAUCCACGGAAGUUUUCAGAGAUGAAAAUGUGCCUUCGGGAACCGUGAGACAGGUGCUGCAUGGCUGUCGUCAGCUCGUGUUGUGAAAUGUUGGGUUAAGUCCCGCAACGAGCGCAACCCUUAUCCUUUGUUGCCAGCGGUCCGUCCGGGAACUCAAAGGAAACUGCCAGUGAAAACUGGAAGAAGGGGGGGAUGAAGUCCAAUCAUCCUGGCCCUUACCAGCAAGGCUAACACCUGCUACCAUGGCGCAUACCAGAGAAUCGACCUCGCGAGAGCAGACGGACUC